CCCUUAGAUGUCCUGGGCUGCACGCGCGCUACACUGAUGUGUCCAGUAAGCACCUAACCUCUUCCGAAAGGAACGGGUAACCUUUGCAAAGCACAUCGUGAUGGGGAUAGAUUAUUGCAAUUAUUAGUCUUGAACGAGGAAUUCCUAGUAAGCAUAAGUCAUCAGCUUGUGCUGAUUACGUCCCUGCCCUUUGUACACACCGCCCGUCGCUCCUACCGAUUUUGAGUGAUCCGGUGAACCUUUUGGACUGCGGUGUCUUCAUGGCACUCGUGGGAAGUUAAGUAAACCUUAUCACUUAGAGGAAGGAGAAGUCGUAACA
rnacentral:rRNA from 1 species